ACUCAAAGGAAUUGACGGGGACCCGCACAAGCAGUGGAGUAUGUGGUUUAAUUCGAAGCAACGCGAAGAACCUUACCAGGGCUUGACAUCCCUCUGACAGGCAUAGAGAUAUGCCCUUCUUCGGACAGAGGAGACAGGUGGUGCAUGGUUGUCGUCAGCUCGUGUCGUGAGAUGUUGGGUUAAGUCCCGCAACGAGCGCAACCCCUACUGUUAGUUGCCAUCAUUAAGUUGGGCACUCUAACGGGACUGCCGGUGACAAAUCGGAGGAAGGUGGGGACGACGUCAAAUCAUCAUGCCCCUUAUGUCCUGGGCUACACACGUACUACAAUGGCCGUUAACAAAGUGAAGCAAGCCCGCGAGGGGGAGCAAAUCACAAAAAACGGUCUCAGUUCGGAUUGUAGGCUGAAACCCGCCUAUAUGAAGUCGGAAUUGCUAGUAAUCGCGAAUCAGCAUGUCGCGGUGAAUACGUUCCCGGGUCUUGUACACACCGCCCGU
rnacentral:rRNA from 1 species